rnacentral:rRNA from 1 species
UGAGGAAUAUUGGUCAAUGGGCGAAAGCCUGAACCAGCAACGCCGCGUGAGGGAUGAAGGCCUUCGGGUCGUAAACCUCUUUUCUGGGAGAAGAGACAAGGACGGUAUCCCAGGAAUAAGUCUCGGCUAACUACGUGCCAGCAGCCGCGGUAAAACGUAGGAGGCAAGCGUUAUCCGGAUUUACUGGGCGUAAAGCGCACGCAGGCGGCUGCGUAAGUCGGACGUGAAAGCUCCCGGCUCAACUGGGAGAGGUCGUUCGAAACUGCGCGGCUUGAGGUUGGAAGAGGAGAGCGGAAUUCCCGGUGUAGUGGUGGAAUGCGUAGAUAUCGGGAGGAACACCAGUGGCGAAAGCGGCUCUCUGGUCCACACCUGACGCUCAGGUGCGAAAGCGUGGGUAGCGAACGGG